GCAAGUUCCUAAGCAAUAACAACUUCCGCAGCGUGGUUUAUUAAGCCAAAUAAGGGGUAUCAUGAACCACAAGAUGGCAUUGUUGCAUUUUGUAGAAAGCCGCAUACAACAUCCACAGGUGCAUGUGGUCGUCUUCUUAAAACAGACAGACCUCAUGCAAUCACUACUCUCCUGGCAAAUCUGAUCCAUGAGAUGUUGGAAGAGAAGAAACCAAAGCGGUGACUUCAGCCACAAAGUCACUUUGAGUGAAUGAGGAAUCGGGUAACGGGAUCAGGCGACAUUCGGUGACUUCAGGCAAGCUGGCAGUCAGCCAGGUGAGCCGGACUCACAAAUGGACAUUGAUUUUUCAAUAAGGGCUCUCCGCGCUGUCAGCCAAGCGUGCCACAAC